GGACCUGCAACCAGCACACACGCGCUUCGGGCAUGUGGGACAACAAAUUCGAAGUAGGUAUGGAGGAUCGCGCACAUGCAUGGGGGCGUGCAUGCACUAAUGAAGGCAGUGAGAUGCCUGUGGUUCACCGUAGAAUGCUUCAAAACAUGCGAGUCACUGCUGCACCAGCCGAGAAUCGAAGUCGGGUCUGGUCCGUGGCAAGGACCUAUGCUACCACUAUACCACUGGUGCUCUGUAAGACACGGGAACUGCCCGAGUGAACACCACUGCACACAACUAUAUCAAGAGUUACACACAUGCAGACAUACAAUGUGCACAGAAUCACGUGUUCUAUAUACCUAGGUAUAUGGGUAUGCCUCUCUGGUGCCCGUAAUAGGUUUGUCUGAGGGAGCACCAGUGGUGUCGUGGUUGCAUAUAUGGGUCCUUUGCCGCAGACUAGACUCGAGUUUAUCCUCGACUGGUGCACAAAAACAUGCAUGUUUUGUAGCAUUGUACAGUGGGCCGCUGGCUUCUCAGCAUUGCCUUGAUUAUUGGAUGUGCUCUAUCCACCUAGUUUGUUGUUCCAUAUGCCUGAAGCACAUGUGUGUUGGUAGCAGGUCCAGGUGCAUGUCCGAGGUAAUGUGUGCUUUGCCACAUGCCAAUAACACCCAGGCAGGAAGGGAUGAAUGCUCUGGCAUAUUGAACUGUAAAGUGCUCUGUCCUGCGCCAUAAUAGACGCAAAGACAUAAGUACACAGCAGGGAGAUGGGUGAAUGAGUGAAGAUUGCCAACCGUAUUAGGGCAUGGUNNNNNNNNNNNNNNNNNNNNNNNNNNNNNNNNNNNNNNNNNNNNNNNNNNUGCAAUAGGUCGGCGACAUACACAUACACAUGGUAUGUGCAUGUCCAAAUGUUUGUGCAUGUACAUGCACCUAGACACAUGUGUUUAUGUGUUUAUGUGUGUGUGUGCGUGUGUGUGUGUGUGUGUGUGUGUCUGCUGGAUACAUGUAUUCUAAUCCAACGAGUGUAUGGUGCUCCCUACAAAUCUCUUAAUCAUGGAGCUAUGGAUUUGGUGCUAGCACCUUUGAAUGCAAGCUAAGGUCGGUUAUGAUGGAUGGAGAGCUGUACUUGCACUACUGCACUCACAGAGUGCACUAAUAAGAAAACCUGGCAUAUGUAAUCCUGUUUGUGGCCAGCCGUGUACACGCAUGACGAUGGAUGACAUAUGUACACAUAUACAUGCAUACACAUAUGCUGUAUUGCACUUUAUUUGCAGUCCCUCACUUGUUUGCUUGUCUCCCUGCUGUGUGCGUGUGCCUUUGCAUCUAUUUGCACAGGACAGAGCACUUUAAAGUUCACUACACCAUAGCAUUCCUUCCUUCCUGCCUGGGUGUUAUUGGCAUGCAACAAUGCACCUAAUACCCAGGACAUACACUUGGACCUGCAACCAGCACACACGCGCUUCGGGCAUGUGGGACAACAAAUUCGAAGUAGGUAUGGAGGAUCGCGCACAUGCAUGGGGGCGUGCAUGCACUAAUGAAGGCAGUGAGAUGCCUGUGGUUCACCGUAGAAUGCUUCAAAACAUGCGAGUCACUGCUGCACCAGCCGAGAAUCGAAGUCGGGUCUGGUCCGUGGCAAGGACCUAUGCUACCACUAUACCACUGGUGCUCUGUAAGACACGGGAACUGCCCGAGUGAACACCACUGCACACAACUAUAUCAAGAGUUACACACAUGCAGACAUACAAUGUGCACAGAAUCACGUGUUCUAUAUACCUAGGUAUAUGGGUAUGCCUCUCUGGUGCCCGUAAUAGGUUUGUCUGAGGGAGCACCAGUGGUGUCGUGGUUGCAUAUAUGGGUCCUUUGCCGCAGACUAGACUCGAGUUUAUCCUCGACUGGUGCACAAAAACAUGCAUGUUUUGUAGCAUUGUACAGUGGGCCGCUGGCUUCUCAGCAUUGCCUUGAUUAUUG
rnacentral:lncRNA from 1 species